rnacentral:misc_RNA from 1 species
AGCAGCCGCGGUAAUUCCAGCUCCAAUAGCGUAUAUUAAAGUUGUUGCAGUUAAAAAGCUCGUAGUUGAAUUUCGGGAUCAAUAUGCUGGUCGUGCCAUUGGUACGUACUAGUAUUAUUGGUUUCUCCUUUCUGAUGAAUCAUGAUGUCAUUAAUUUGUAUGUCAUGAGGAAUCAGGACUGUUACUUUGAAAAAAUUAGAGUGUUUAAAGCAGGCUCGCGCUUGAAUACAUUAGCAUGGAAUAAUGAAAUAGGAUGUUUGAUUCUAUUUUGUUGGUUUCUAGGAUUUGACGUAAUGAUUAAUAGGGAUAGUUGGGGGCAUUAGUAUUCAAUUGUCAGAGGUGAAAUUCUUGGAUUUAUUGAAGACUAACUACUGCGAAAAGCAUUUGCCAAGGAUGUUUUCAUUAAUCAAGAACGAAAGUUAGGGGAUCGAAGACGAUCAGAUACCGUCGUAGUCUUAACCAUAAACUAUGCCGACUAGGGAUCGGAUGAUGUUAAUUUUUUAAUGACUCAUUCGGCGCC